ensembl:lncRNA
AUUAAUUCAAGGCAUGCAAUUGUCACUAAAAAUUUGGUCUUAGAAUCAAAGCAUUUUUCCUAGCCCAUAUACCUGCAGCUGAAUUUUACUGAAAAGAUUUUGAAAAUUAAUUCAUUAGUUAAUGCCAGCUCAUCAUCUCCCUAUCCUCUCCCUAUCCUUAUACUUCUGAGAGCAAGUUAUUGAACAGUCAAGGCAAAUAGUCAUUUUCUAGAAUUUUGGAUCCUCAGAGCUGUGAACGUUACAGUCAAGUGGCUCAUGUUUGAUCUCCUUCCUCCUUCCUCAAGCUUUGGGCAAAAUCUGGCCUCUUGAUCUUUUUACUCUGGGAUUUCUAUUUUAAGUCAUUUAGGAGAGGACUAUUGCUAACUCAGGGACAAAACUUGCCUCUGACAUGCAUUUCAUUCAUUUAUCGUACAUUCAUUGAGCGGCAUUUAUCAUAAAACAAAACAUGAUUUACAUACAAUUUGCUUUUUAUUGAUUGCUACCUCAUUUCAUCCUCUCAACUUUCAUGUAAUUUAUUAUUCCUGGUCUUUAUUUUAAUAGAAGAAGAAACAGAUAAAAAGUGUGCCCGUGGAUGUUGAGCUGGUGCAUCAAGUGGCAAAGCUGGUAUUCAAACCUCAGGGCUCCUGCUCUGUGCUUUUCCAUGCAACUCGGAGAGCUAAGGUCUUGUUCUGGCACCAAGACUAGAGUGCAGUGGUGCGAUCGUGGUUCACUGCAGCCUCGAACUCCAGGACUCAAGCGAUCCUCCCACCUCAGCCUCCUGAAUAGCUAAGAGUAAAGGCACACACCAUUUCACCUGGCUAAUUUUUAAAUUUUUUUGUAGAGGUGGGGUCUCGCUAUGUUGCCCAGGCUGGUCUUGAACUCCUGACCUCAAAUCACCCUCUUACCUCAGCCUCCUAAAAUGCUGGGAUUAUAGGCGAGAUUUAUUAUCUUCUUGCCUAUAUCUAAAAGGUGUUUAACUUGGCUGACUAUGUAUGAGCAGGGUUCUAGCCCCUUUAUUGCAUGGCUUUUCUAUAUUUUCUCCAUAGCAGAGACAAUGCCUUUUGAUCGAUGUGUGGCUUCUUGGGUGGGUUGGAUACAUUUUUAGCCUUAAUUAUUCCAGUUGGCCCUUUCUAUCACCAGGCCAUUGUACCUAAUUGCACACUUUCACCGUGGCCAUGCCUUCCAGGGCUCCACUUGCACUAUGCCUCUACUGUUUGAGCAUCUUGUUUAGCAUUUCCAUGCCUCCCAGGCCUGGGCUAAGCUCUUGAAAGCUGUGGCAGUAAGCACAGCUGCUGGAAUUGCCUCUAGCACACAUUCUAAGACAAUGUCAGUGGCUCCCAUGGAAUUUCCAUCCUCCAUAUUUUUCUUUCAUAAAAUCUCAGGACGUGAUUAAAAAAUAACAGUCAUUAAUGUCUCCUCUAAAAGUCCACGUAUGUUCUGUUUUCCUAGACUGAAGAAUUGUUUGGCUAAAUAUACCCAGACCUUAUGUAGUGUUUGCCAUGUGAGCCAUGUAAAUUCUCAAGUGGUUCUUUAAAGGACUAUGGUUAGGCAAAUAAAUAAAUGACAAUAGCUACCAAUUAUUGCAGGAGCAUUUACAUACAGGAUUACAUAUAGAACUUCAUUUAAUCCUGACAGAAGCAACCACCGUAUCUGCCUUGGUGAGGCAAAACUGAGUGUCUGCACAUUAGAAAGCAUAGCCAUGUCACUGUCUACGGUUUCCAUUUGGAAAUAUGAGCCCUGACAGCCUUGGCAGAUAAUCUGUAAUUUUUAAAUAUAGUAUAGGUGUGUGUAUAUAUAUAAGUAUAUAUAUAUGUGUGUGUAUAUAAAUAAGUAUAUAUAUACUUAUUUAUUUUAUGUACAGAUGGUUUUAUGUACAGAUAGUUCCUGAAAUACUGUUCAACUUUUGAAUUGUCAAUUUUCCAAUGGUGUGAAUGUGAUAUGCAUUCAGUAGACACUGAGCAUUGAAUUUUGAAUUUUGAUCUCUUCCCGGGCUACUGAAAUGUGGUGUGAUGCCUUCUUGUGAUGCUGAGCAGCGGCCAUGAGCACAGCCCUCCAACAGCCACACAGUCAGGAGGGUGAACAACUGAUACUGUACUCCACGGUGUACUGGAUUCAAUAUAUUACAUGAGAUCUUCAACACUGUAUUAUAAAAUGGACAAUUGGGGUUUGCCCAACUGUAGGCUAACAUAUGUGUUCUGAGCAUGUUUAAUGUAGAUUAAGUCGUGAUGUUUGGUGGGUUGUGUUAUUAAAUGCA